UGCGCUCAAGAUUAAGCCGAKGGGCAUGGGUUCUARGUAUAAGCAAUUAUACCGUGAAACUGCGAAUGGCUCAUUAAAUCAGUUAUCGUUUAUUUGAUAGUACCUUACUACUUGGAUAACCGUGGUAAUUCUAGAGCUAAUACAUGCUGAAAACCCCAACUUCGGGAGGGGUGUAUUUAUUAGAUAAAAAACCAACGCCCUUUCGGGGCUUCUUGGUGAUUCAUGAUAACUUCACGGAUCGCAUGGCCUUGCGCCGGCGACGGUUCAUUCAAAUUUCUGCCCUAUCAACUUUCGAUGGUAAGGUAUUGGCUUACCAUGGUUUCAACGGGUAACGGGGAAUUAGGGUUCGAUUCCGGAGAGGGAGCCUGAGAAACGGCUACCACAUCCAAGGAAGGCAGCAGGCGCGCAAAUUACCCAAUCCCGACACGGGGAGGUAGUGACAAUAAAUACUGAUACAGGGCUCUUUUGGGUCUUGUAAUUGGAAUGAGUACAAUUUAAACCUCUUAACGAGGAACAAUUGGAGGGCAAGUCUGGUGCCAGCAGCCGCGGUAAUUCCAGCUCCAAUAGCGUAUAUUAAAGUUGUUGCAGUUAAAAAGCUCGUAGUUGAAACUUGGGCCUGGCUGGCAGGUCCGCCUCACCGCGUGUACUUGUCCGGCCGGGCCUUUCCUUCUGGAGAACCUCAUGCCCUUCACUGGGUGUGUUGGGGAACCAGGACUUUUACUUUGAAAAAAUUAGAGUGUUCAAAGCAGGCCUUUGCUCGAAUACGUUAGCAUGGAAUAAUAGAAUAGGACGUGCGGUCCUAUUUUGUUGGUUUCUAGGACCGCCGUAAUGAUUAAUAGGGACAGUCGGGGGCAUCAGUAUUCAAUUGUCAGAGGUGAAAUUCUUGGAUUUAUUGAAGACUAACUACUGCGAAAGCAUUUGCCAAGGAUGUUUUCAUUAAUCAGUGAACGAAAGUUAGGGGAUCGAAGACGAUCAGAUACCGUCGUAGUCUUAACCGUAAACUAUGCCGACUAGGGAUCGGGCGAUGUUCUUUUUCUGACUCGCUCGGCACCUUACGAGAAAUCAAAGUUUUUGGGAUUCUGGGGGGAGUAUGGUCCSCUAGAGGCUGGAAACUUACAUGAAUUAUGGAGAGGAGGAACA
rnacentral:rRNA from 1 species